rnacentral:rRNA from 1 species
UUUAUUGGAGAGUUUGAUCCUGGCUCAGGAUGAACGCUGGCGGCGUGCCUAAUACAUGCAAGUCGAGCGAAUGGAUUAAGAGCUUGCUCUUAUGAAGUUAGCGGCGGACGGGUGAGUAACACGUGGGUAACCUGCCCAUAAGACUGGGAUAACUCCGGGAAACCGGGGCUAAUACCGGAUAACAUUUUGAACCGCAUGGUUCGAAAUUGAAAGGCGGCUUCGGCUGUCACUUAUGGAUGGACCCGCGUCGCAUUAGCUAGUUGGUGAGGUAACUGCUCACCAAGGCAACGAUGCGUAGCCGACCUG